CCUAUCAGAGGGGAAUAACAGUGAGAAAUCACUGCUAAUACCGCAUAUGCCAUAGUCAUCGCAUGAUGAUAGUGGGAAAGAAGCAAUUCGCUGAUAGAUGAGCUUGCGGCUGAUUAGCUAGUUGGUGGGGUAACGGCCUACCAAGGCGACGAUCAGUAGCCGGACUGAGAGGUUGAACGGCCACAUUGGGACUGAGAUACGGCCCAGACUCCUACGGGAGGCAGCAG
rnacentral:rRNA from 1 species